GGGCCCGUAGUCUAGUGGUCAUGACGUCUCUUUGACGUGGAGAAGGUCGCCAGUUCGAAUCUGGCCGGGCCCA
rnacentral:tRNA from 1 species